UCAAAAGAAGAGAAGGAAAACUGUCCCCACCAUUUUGCAUUUUGUUUACAAUUGAUUAUUUUAUAUAGUUUUGGAAAUAUAUGUGGUUAUUGUGACUUGGUGUUGGUAGUUAUUGUGGAUUUGUGACUGAAAUGCUAAAAUUAAUUGAAUAUCCAAUGAGAACAAUGGAAAACAAAAGUCCCAAGCGAGAAAUAUUUGGGUAAAGACAAGGAUAUAUAGUGUUUACGGGCCACUUUGUGAAUAUUUAUUAAUUUGUUUUUAGUAUUUUAAUGCAGACACGCAUUAUUUUGAAGUGACAAAAUCAUUUUCAGAUUUCAAUGUUUCAUUAGUAAAUCAACAAUCCAGGAUACAUUUUUUUAGAACUAUAGUGGUAAGUGAUACCUUAAUAUGCCUGAUCGAUGGAACACGACUUGUUUUGAUAAAUAGAUAUUUUAUAUAAUACAAUAUAAUUUGACAUGGCACGUUGACGAUGGAAAGGGACCAGCGUGUGAUGUCAUUAAGUGCGGCAUAUCUCGAGAAGCGGCUUACACUUUUUUAUCAUGACAGUCCGUGAUGUCCUAGCUUGUCGACUUCCCUGACACAGGGAUAUUUAUGAGGAGCGCAGAUUGGAUUCCCAAGUCGUGAGCAUGUCGCGAAUCGGAGCGUGUCAGAGUGUAACUAAAUAAAUUAUUGAAUAUGCAAAGGAGGGCUGUGCUACAUAUUUCAAUAUUUGAAGACCCACAGGGGAGUCCAAAAGAUUAACUAUAGUGAAACAUAUGGAGAUCAGAGAGGUUAAUAAAGCUGAUAUUUCAUUUCUACCACAGGAUGUACACAAUAAUAUGAUUUUGAUGCACCUUUAGAUGCCCAUUUGGUGCAUUUUUGGAUGUAAAUGAUCACCUAGGAUUUUUGGAAAAUAAAGAUAAUGAGGGGUGCAUGGCUGUGUGGUAAUCUGUGAUAUUUAAAAUUAGAUUUAAAAAAUAUCCUGUACAUAUUUUUAAAUUUUCAUGUAAUAUUUUUGACCUGAAGCUGGUACCGGUGUGUCAGCUUCAUGUUAAAAAAUAACAUCUGUUUUAGAAGUUCAAAAGUUUAUAUUAAUUAAUUUAUUAUUUCAAUACUUGUAACAUUACUGAUAUUAAUUUGAUGUAAAAAAUUGUAGUUUUACAUUUGAUUAAAAUACAAGAACAAUUUAAU